GGAAUUUUCCGCAAUGGGCGAAAGCCUGACGGAGCAAUACCGCGUGAAGGAUGAAGGCCUGUGGGUCGUAAACUUCUUUUCUCAUAGAAGAAUAAUGACGGUAUAUGAGGAAUAAGCAUCGGCUAACUCCGUGCCAGCAGCCGCGGUAAUACGGAGGAUGCAAGCGUUAUCCGGAAUCAUUGGGCGUAAAGCGUCUGUAGGUGGCUUGGUAAGUCGACUGUUAAAUCGUAGAGCUUAACUCUAUAUCGGCAGUCGAAACUACUUCGCUUGAGUGUGGUAGGGGCAGAGGGAAUUCCCGGUGUAGCGGUGAAAUGCGUAGAUAUCGGGAAGAACACCAACGGCGAAAGCACUCUGCUGGGCCAACACUGACACUGAGAGACGAAAGCCAGGGGAGCGAAAGGGAUUAGAUACCCCAGUAGUC
rnacentral:rRNA from 1 species